UAUACAUAAGAAGAAAAUCUCUUUUUAUUCGGAGCAAUGUCAUUUGUGGGCUUGGCCUGUAAGGGAUAGAAAAAGGCCCACUAGAUCAUUGCAGUUAACCUCUUUCAAAAUCAAAGAAACCCUAAUCUUGGGUUCAACGGCGCGUUCUUGUUUCACCCCUUUAUAAACACCUUUCAUCUAUUGUCUUCACAUUCGCCACUCUUCUCUUUCAAAGUUUAUAUCUUUCAGACUGCCAUUGAUUAAGGAUUCUUUUCUGUGUUAUGGGUUCUGAUGUGUGUAUGUGUGGCGUCAUUUACUGAUUACCUGUGCUCUGAUCUUCGUGGGUACUGUCUAUUCAUGAGAGCUGUGUUGUUGAAUUUUGAUUCAUUUUCUGUUGAAGAGGUAGCAUUUGUCUCUGAACAAUUAUUGGAAACUCCAUGGAUAAUAUAAUUUCUUAUUAAAAUUGAUUAAUGUGAACCUGGUUUUGUUAAUUGUUUGUAGGAAUUUGGUGUUUGUUAUUGCAUUAUUGUAUAUUGAUUUGUUUCACUGUAUGAUGGAUGUGAUGAUUAUUUCCCCAGGUGAUCGACGCUGAACAUACUGUGCGAUCUUUCUCUUUAGAGAAACCAAGCCAAUAAAUCUGAUCCAUUGUUGUAUGUUUUAGUAUGUUCCUCAUAGAAUUUUAUAUUUGUUUUAAAAAUGCAUUUUUCUUUUUCAUGUGCAUUUAUUCAUUUUGUAUGCUUUUGAAUUUGUAAUAGUAUUUGUUUUAGAAGCGGUUGCAUUUGCCUUCGAACAAUUAUUGGAAACUCCAUGGAUUAUAUAUUUUCUGAUUAAAUUUUAUCAAUCAACUAGUUGAUAUUUGGCAUUAAAAUUGUACUGCAAGAUGGAAGUGAUGAUUAUUUCCCCAGAUGAUCGAAGCUGAAUAUACUGUGCGAUUUUUCUCUUUAGAGAAUCCAAGCCAAUAAAUCUGAUCCAUCUUUGCAUAUUUUCAAUUUGAUCUUCUGUUUGGAUAGUAUUUUCAUACAUUUUGUCUUUUCUUUUUGCCUAGGUGUAUUGGGGAUUUAUGAAUACCCUUUUAAUUCUUUGUUCCUGAUAAAGUAAGUUGGAGAAUUAGUGAAGGGGCUAUUUUGUAUUUGGAUAUUCCCAUCUUUUGUAAAGGAUAUUCUCCAGAUAACAAUUAACAGGAGUUUAAUGCUUGUGCUACAUUGUAUGUGGAUGCAAGUUUGGCUCUUCUGUUACAAACAUACCAAUAUAACAAUUUGAAA